GAUGAACGCUGGCGGCGUGCCUAAUACAUGCAAGUCGAGCGAAUGGAUUAAGAGCUUGCUCUUAUGAAGUUAGCGGCGGACGGGUGAGUAACACGUGAGUAACCUGCCCAUAAGACUGGGAUAACUACGGGAAACCGGGGCUCAUACCGGAUAACAUUUUGAACCGCAUGGUUCGAAAUUGAAAGGCGGCUUCGGCUGUCACUUAUUGAUGGACCCGCGUCGCAUUAGCUAGUUGGUGAGGUAACGGCUCACCAAGGCAACGGUGCGGAGCCGACCUGAGAGGGUGAUCGGCCACACUGGGACUGAGACACGGCCCAGACUCCUACGGGAGGCAGCAGUAGGGAAUCUUCCGCAAUGGACGAAAGUCUGACGGAGCAACGCCGCGUGAGUGAUGAAGGCUUUCGGGUCGUAAAACUCUGUUGUUAGGGAAGAACAAGUGCUAGUUGAAUAAGCUGGCACCUUGACGGUACCUAACCAGAAAGCCACGGCUAACUACGUGCCAGCAGCCGCGGUAA
rnacentral:rRNA from 1 species